UACGUAGGGUGCAAGCGUUGUCCGGAAUUAUUGGGCGUAAAGAGCUCGUAGGCGGUCUGUCACGUCGGCUGUGAAAUCCCGAGGCUCAACCUCGGGUCUGCAGUCGAUACGGGCAAACUAGAGUAUUGCAGGGGAGACUGGAAUUCCUGGUGUAGCGGUGGAAUGCGCAGAUAUCAGGAGGAACACCGGUGGCGAAGGCGGGUCUCUGGGCAGUAACUGACGCUGAGGAGCGAAAGCGUGGGGAGCGAACAGG
rnacentral:rRNA from 1 species